ensembl:lncRNA
GGCCUCAGCUGCAUCAGAGCGCCACUUCUCCCCAGGUUCACCAGAGGAAACACCACUGCACAAAAUGCUUUUCCUCCCAGCUGCUGCUCUGUGCUGUCUGUGUUCAGCACUGGUUACCAUGGCAGCAGAGUCAAAUCAGGGUGGUUCUACACUGACCAAGAAAAUUGGAGAAAGUGUCUCCUUCAGGUGUGGGAAUCCACGAUGUAGUGGCUCUGUAUACUGGUACCAGAAGAAAGAAAGAGAAACAUUCAAAUAUCUGCAGUAUACAGGUGUUCUGACACUAAACAACAUCAGACGUGAUCAUUCAGCCACCUACUACUGCUCCUUCUGUCUCACUGUGGGAGGAAGAUACUACUACAUCUUUGGCUCUGGAACUAAACUGUCUGUAACAGCGCCACAUAGACUCCACGUCGAUGGGGACAGCUCCCUGCUCUGUGUGCCCCCGUUCAUGUUUCCAUCUUUGGUUCAGCUGACUUGUAAUACACAGAAGAAAGAUGAUCCGGAGGAGCUGCCCACAGACGUUGGAAAGCAGCUGGAGCUGAUCCAUGAAGAAGAGAGCAGCACAUAUACAUGCAAAUGCUACAUCAAAAAUGUCAGCAACAACACAGUGGAGGCCCGAACACAACAAGAGCUUCCAGCUCCAGCAGCCUCCUGUCCUCCAGAGAGAGAGCCAGCAGACCUGCCAGCUCUGCAGCCAGCUGACUGUAAGAUCACCUGCUGCCUCUCUGCAUGGACAGCUCCAAUGUCCAAUGAGGCAGCUGGAACAAGUUUAGGCUCUUAAAGUUGCACUAAUUGAUCAAAUCUUCAUCCAACAAGCUCUGAUAAAGCCACUGUACACUAGCUGCUCAGCACCAAACAGCAGACAGACCAUAAUAUGUCAGAGAUCAGUUUGUUAGCUGCUUGUGGAGUUCUUCUGCCCCCAAGUGGACACAAACACUACAUCAAUUCAUCCACUUGAAGAAGAAGCUGUGACUGUUUCUAUUUGGACUUUUUCUCCUUGAUCUGAGAGGAAUAACCCGACUGUCUGUCUGUCUCUUUGUGUCUGUCUGUCCUUCAGUGUCCUUCCAGUCUCAGUGCAGGGUGAAGCUGCUCUGCCUGCUGUACACAGUGCUGAUAGUGAAGAGUCUGGUGUACUGCUGUGGACUCUCUCUGCUGAUGAUGCUCACAAACAAGGGAGCGUCCACCAACUGCACACAUGCUGACUGACUGUUUCCUGCUCGCCUUUUCUCACCAUCACAUCUCAUCAAUUCAUCUCAUUCAUCACUUUGAUCACAAAUGUUAGUUAUGAUGUGUUGAGCUUAUUUUGCCUUUUUCUUCAACAGUUAGAAGAUCGUCUGAAAUAAAUACAUCUUUACAUGUAUUGUUGCUCUGAGUUAGAAUUCUUUUUGUGCUUAUUGUGACUUUUAUUGUAGUAACAAAAACCAUCAGGAAUAUUUUUAUCACAAGUUUUUGUUUGAUUUUCAAAUGUCAAACAGUGUAGUUGUGUUUGUGUGAACAAUAAAGAUUUGAAGAUGAAGA